rnacentral:tRNA from 1 species
GCCUACCGUGGCCUACUGGUUAGCACUUCGGACCUGUAACCGGAGGGUUGCCGGUUCGAACCCCGACCAGUAGGCA